UCUGAUUGCUGCACAACAUUCUCCAGCAAGCUGGAAGAUUUGGCCCCUUUUGUGUUAAACAAGUCCAAGAAAACAUCUGUGAUAGAAUCUCAGACAUCAGCACUGAUGGUUGUGCCAGGUAUUCUGAAAGAGAACUUGUCUGUAUUCAUGGUUCAAGAAAAUCAGUCUGAUCCAGAGCAAGUUCAGGGUGCUCAAACCAAUGAUGCAUCCACACAUCUAAGUGAAAUGUGCCAAUGAUGGAUAUUCGAUCAUAUGUGAAGAAAUUCAAGUCGCAAAAGACACCGUCUUUCUUGGAGGUUACGAUGUUUGACUUAAAAAGAAAGUUGAAGCUUCUAUGACCGACUAUAAAGCUCAUCAAUCAACUCAAGUAGGCAUGUCAACAAAUUGGACAAAAUGGACAUUAU